rnacentral:rRNA from 1 species
AUGACUCAGCCCAAGUUUAUGGGAGGUAUGGGGUUCCGUGACAUUGAGUUGUUCAAUUUAGCCUUACUGGAUCGUCAAGCAUGGCGUUUGUUGCAAGAACCCGACUCCCUCAGUGCACGUAUACUCAAGGCAAUAUACUACCCUGAUCGCAACUUUCUGUUGAGGCCGGUGUGUCCGAAGAUUUCAGACCCUUCGCAGCUUGUAUCGGAUUUGAUUGACCAUAGCAAUGCUUGCUGGAAUAUUGCUGUUCUGGAUGAAUACUUCUAUGCGAUGGACAGGGAGGCGAUUCUGAACAUUCCGUUGAGUACUCGAGCUCAAGAUGACUUCUGGGCCUGGCACUACGAUAGGAGGGGUGUUUUUUCAGUUCGGUCUGCUUAUCGACUUCUAGCCUCGACGAAACAGCAGAGAACGGAUUGGCUGAAGCAUAACCCGAGCCACUCUCAUGGCGACGAGGACAGGAAAUCUUGGGGAAAACUGUGGAACCUGAGCAUCCCGUCCAAGAUUAAGGUGUUUGCUUGGCGGUUAGCCAAGACUUCGCUCCAAACUAGAGAUGUCAGGAAUCACAGGCAAAUGACAAAUACGCCAGCGUGUUCGAUAUGUAAUGCGGCUACCGAUUCUUGGAGACACUCCUUAUUUGAUUGCCAUAUGUCCCGAUGUGUGUGGGCUUUAGCCGAGGAGGAACUGACUGAAGUUGCUAUCUCAAACCGAACGGAAGAUGCAAGAUUAUGGAUGUUUUGGCUGCUUGAUACUUUACCAGAGGAGGAGGUAGUUCAAGUUCUGGUUACGAUGUGGGCCAUAUGGUGGGCGAGACAACGUGCUAUCCAUGAUGAUCAAUACCAAAGCCCCCUAAGCACCUCGGUUUUUGUCAAAAAGAUCUUGGAAGAUCUUGAUUUGGUGGCAGACAGCAAACGGUGCCCGGCCAAGGACCGGCUUGCGAUACACAAGGACUUGCAUGUAACGGCUGAAAAUGCAAGGGCCAGAAUUAAUGCUGAUGGUGGGGUGUCAAGAUGUGGCAGAAGAGGUGCGGCGGCGGUCAUUUGCCGAGACAAGGCGGGAACUUUCUUGGGAGCAUCGGCGAGAGUUUUUGACGGCCUUACGGACCCACCCUCGUUAGAAGCGCAAGCCUGCAAUGAGGCUCUUUCAUUGGCCGAGGACCUCAACUUGAAUGCUGUUUGUGUGGCAUUGGACUGCGCUGAGGUGAUCUCCAAGAUCGGGACGGAAGCUCCUUGCCACUAUACAGCGAUACUCCGGGAGAUUAACCAUCGCACUGCUAUUUUUCAUAAUAUUCGCUUUGUUCAUGAAAAUAGGAAGUUUAAUUUUGAAGCACAUUCGCUUGCGAAAGCUGCUGUUUCUUUGUCUAGCGGGCGCCAUGUGUGGCUUGUUUCUACGUCCGAUAUCAUCUGUAUCCCUAUGAACAUCCAACUAUAA